CGAAAUCGGGUGACUACCAAAUCGACCUAUUUUCAUACCGACGAAGUCGAAUGUCGUAGACUACUUAUUUUCGUCGCCAGAUUUGUUGAACAAUUAAAUUGUUGCCGAUUUCAUCGGUAAAAUAAUCGAUUGAUUGUAUAUUUGUUGCUUAUUCUGAUUGCCUGAUUGAUAUGCAGACGAAAUCGGGUCCCUGUGUUUAUAAAUAUAAAUUGAAGCAAUCCGAGGCACAUCCCAGAACACGUCGGAAGACUAAUUCUAUGUGAUAAACAGUUAAUCAAGAAUUAUGCAGUUUGAGAUGAUUCCAAAGGAUAACAAAGUGUUUGUGCACCCGGCCCUGUUCCCACCAAUAUCUACGGAAGUAUGGACAUUCCUCAAAUAAUCGCCCAUGCCACCCGAUUA